rnacentral:rRNA from 1 species
CCCUUAGAUGUUCUGGGCCGCACGCGCGCUACACUGAUGCAUUCAACGAGUCUAAAACCUGCUCUGAUAGGGGUGGGUAAUCUUUUGGAUGUGCAUCGUGAUUGGGAUAGAUGAUUGCAAUUUUUCAUCUUCAACGAGGAAUGCCUAGUAAACGCAAGUCAUCAGCUUGCAUUGAUUACGUCCCUGCCCUUUGUACACACCGCCCGUCGCUCCUACCGAUUGAAUGAUCCGAUGAAUAUCAUGGAUUGAGGAUGCAAGUAGGUUCGCCUAUCUUCAUCUUCGAGAAGUGAAGUAAAUCUUAUCAUUUAGAGGAAGGAGAAGUCGUAACA